CAAGUCGAACGGUAAAGGUCCAGCAAUGGAUGCUGACGAGUGGCGCACGGGUGCGUAACACGUAUGCAACCUACCUUUGACUGGGGGAUAGCCCCGAGAAAUCGGGAUUAAUACUCCAUACAAUUAUGAAAGGACAUCCUUUUAUAAUCAAAGCUCCGGCGGUCUUAGAUGGGCAUGCGCGACAUUAGCUAGUUGGUGAGGUAACGGCUCACCAAGGCUUCGAUGUCUAGGGGUUCUGAGAGGAUUCACCCCCACACUGGUACUGAGACACGGACCAGACUCCUACGGGAGGCAACAGUAAGGAAUAUUGGGCAAUGGACGCAAGUCUGACCCAGCCAUGCCGCGUGCAGGAAGACAGCCCUACGGGUUGUAAACUGCUUUUGUACGGGAAAAAACCUCCGGUCGUGUACCGGAGCUGAUGGUACCGUAAGAAUAAGCAUCGGCUAACUCCGUGCCAGCAGCCGCGGU
rnacentral:rRNA from 1 species